AGGUAAAUAUGAUGAAACUCACAGCUGAGGAGCUUAGCAAGUAGCUAAGUAGCUAAGGCCAGAGCUUGUGUUUGGGUGGUGUGGCUG
rnacentral:miRNA from 1 species